GGCGCGGUAGCCAAGCGGCUAAGGCGGCGGUCUGCAAAACCGCUAUUCGGAGGUUCGAAUCCUCUCCGCGCCU
rnacentral:tRNA from 1 species